AGAGUUUGAUCAUGGCUCAGAACGAACGCUGGCGGCAGGCCUAACACAUGCAAGUCGAACGCCCUCGCAAGAGGGAGUGGCAGACGGGUGAGUAACGCGUGGGAACAUGCCUUUCGGUUCGGAACAACUCGGGGAAACUUGAGCUAAUACCGGAUACGCCCUUUUUGGGGAAAGAUUUCAUCGCCGAAAGAUUGGCCCGCGUCUGAUUAGCUAGUUGGCGGGGUAACGGCCCACCAAGGCGACGAUCAGUAGCUGGUCUGAGAGGAUGAUCAGCCACAUUGGGACUGAGACACGGCCCAAACUCCUACGGGAGGCAGCAGUGGGGAAUAUUGGACAAUGGGCGAAAGCUUGAUCCAGCCAUGCCGCGUGAGUGAUGAAGGCCUUAGGGUUGUAAAGCUCUUUUGCCUGGGAAGAUAAUGACGGUACCAGGAGAAUAAGCCCCGGCAAACUUCGUGCCAGCAGCCGCGGUAAUACGAAGGGGGGCUAGCGUUGUUCGGGAUUUACUGGGCGUAAAGCGCACGUAGGCGGAUCCUUAAGUCAGGGGUGAAAUCCCGGGGCUCAACCUCGGAACUGCCUUUGAUACUGGGGAUCUCGAGUCCGGGAGAGGUGAGCGGAACUGCGAGUGUAGAGGUGAAAUUCGUAGAUAUUCGCAAGAACACCAGUGGCGAAGGCGGCUCACUGGCCCGGUACUGACGCUGAGGUGCGAAAGCGUGGGGAGCAAACAGGAUUAGAUACCCUAGUAGUCC
rnacentral:rRNA from 1 species